rnacentral:rRNA from 1 species
ACAGCAGUAGCCGCGGUAAUACCGAGGGUGCGAGCGUUAAUCGGAUUUACUGGGCGUAAAGCGUGCGUAGGCGGCUUCUUAAGUCGGAUGUGAAAUCCCUGAGCUUAACUUAGGAAUUGCAUUCGAUACUGGGAAGCUAGAGUAUGGGAGAGGAUGGUAGAAUUCCAGGUGUAGCGGUGAAAUGCGUAGAGAUCUGGAGGAAUACCGAUGGCGAAGGCAGCCAUCUGGCCUAAUACUGACGCUGAGGUACGAAAGCAUGGGGAGCAAACAGGAUUAGAUACCCGCGUAGUCCCUGUCUCUUAUAC